rnacentral:rRNA from 1 species
UACGGAGGAGGCAAGCGUUAUCCGGAAUUAUUGGGCGUAAAGCGUCCGUAGGUGGUUGACCAAGUCUGCUGUCAAAGGGUGGGGCUUAACCUCAUAAAGGCAGUGGAAACUGGUGAGCUAGAGUGCGGUAGGGGUAAGGGGAAUUCCCAGUGUAGCGGUGAAAUGCGUAGAGAUUGGGAAGAACAUCGGUGGCGAAAGCGCCUUGCUGGGCCUGCACUGACACUGAGGGACGAAAGCUAGGGGAGCGAAAGGG